rnacentral:lncRNA from 1 species
UCUUCUCAAAAAAUCAUUGGAUGUUUUUCUCCAUGAUGAUCUUGUUCCCGUCCUUUGACUUGGUAAAAUUUGCUCCUUUUGGUCUCGUUUUACAAUACGUUCCAAACGUUCUCAUAAUGGUUUUAGACGUCUUUGGAGCAUUUGACCCACCUCUUGAAUAAAUGCUUGAUAUGUUGGGUCGGACAAAACAUCAUCAUCAUCAACAAUCCUUUCAG